rnacentral:rRNA from 1 species
AUCUAUGGCCAUGCCACCCUGAACAUGCCCGAUCCCGUUUGAUCUCGGAAGCUAAGCAGGUUUGGGCCUGGUUAGUACUUGGAUAGGAGACCACCUAGGAAGACCAGGUGCUGUAGGUG